GAUGAACGCUAGCUACAGGCUUAACACAUGCAAGUCGAGGGCAGCAUGAACUUAGCUUGCUAAGUUUGAUGGCGACCGGCGCACGGGUGAGUAACACGUAUCCAACCUUCCGUUUACUCAGGGAUAGCCUUUCGAAAGAAAGAUUAAUACCUGAUAGUAUGGUGAGAUUGCAUGAUAACACCAUUAAAGAUUUAUUGGUAAACGAUGGGGAUGCGUUCCAUUAGGUAGUAGGCGGGGUAACGGCCCACCUAGCCUGCGAUGGAUAGGGGUUCUGAGAGGAAGGUCCCCCACAUUGGGACUGAGACACGGUCCAAACUCCUACGGGAGGCAGCAGUGAGGAAUAUUGGUCAAUGGGCGAGAGCCUGAACCAGCCAAGUAGCGUGAAGGAUGAAGGUCCUACGGAUUGUAAACUUCUUUUAUACGGGAAUAAAGUUUCCUACGUGUAGGAUUUUGUAUGUACCGUAUGAAUAAGCAUCGGCUAACUCCGUG
rnacentral:rRNA from 1 species